UUGCUCUGGGGUCUUGGUUUUUUAUAAUUCCAUUGCAGGGCUCCCUCAGAGUGGCGUCCAGCCCCUGCCUGCUGUGUCAUCUCCAGAGAAGACCCAGAAUCCCUCUCCUGCAGCACCUGGCGGGGUUUCCGAGAACAGGCAGGGGGAGCUGUUACUUCCAAGUUCAAGGCAAAGACACCAGAUACAGAAUCCCCACAAGCACCUGCUUCCAACGGCCUUGGAGAAGAGUUUGGCACAUCCCAGAAAGCUUCCCACAGAGCCAGCGCUUAAGGUAGACGGGAGUCACACACAGGGCUCAAGCUGAAAUUCAGAACAUCCUAAGGGGAACUUUGCAGGAGGCCGCUCCCCCUGCCCCAACACCAUAGCCCUCCGGUGCAGAAGUAACUUCAGUGUGCAUGGGCCAAACCGCCACAGGUGGUACUUCUGCUUCUAUUCAAAUGCAGUUUUUCUUUGAAGGAGAACAAAGUAGAUCUGAAUAAAAGCCCUA
rnacentral:lncRNA from 1 species